UACGUAGGGUCCGAGCGUUAAUCGGAAUUACUGGGCGUAAAGCGUGCGCAGGCGGUUUUGUAAGCCAGAUGUGAAAGCCCCGGGCUCAACCUGGGAACUGCAUUUGGGACUGCAAGGCUGGAGUACGGCAGAGGGAGGUGGAAUUCCACGUGUAGCAGUGAAAUGCGUAGAGAUGUGGAGGAACACCGAUGGCGAAGGCAGCCUCCUGGGCUAGUACUGACGCUCAGUGCACGAAAGCGUGGGGAGCAAACAGG
rnacentral:rRNA from 1 species